UACGUAGGGGGCAAGCGCUGUCCGGAAUCAUUGGGCGUAAAGCGCGUGUAGGCGGUCCGGUAAGUCCGCUGUGAAAGUCGGGGGCUCAACCCUCGGAUGCCGGUGGAUACUGUCGGGCUUGAGUACGGAAGAGGCGAGUGGAAUUCCUGGUGUAGCGGUGAAAUGCGCAGAUAUCAGGAGGAACACCGAUGGCGAAGGCAGGUCUCUGGGCCACUACUGACGCUGAGAAGCGAAGCAUGGGAGCGAACAGGAUAGAUAC
rnacentral:rRNA from 1 species